rnacentral:rRNA from 1 species
GAUGAGCAUGCGUCCCAUUAGCUAGUUGGUAAGGUAACGGCUUACCAAGGCUACGAUGGGUAGGGGUCCUGAGAGGGAGAUCCCCCACACUGGUACUGAGACACGGACCAGACUCCUACGGGAGGCAGCAGUGAGGAAUAUUGGACAAUGGGCGCAAGCCUGAUCCAGCCAUGCCGCGUGCAGGAUGACGGUCCUAUGGAUUGUAAACUGCUUUUAUACGAGAAGAAACACUCCUUCGUGAAGGAGCUUGACGGUAUCGUAAGAAUAAGGAUCGGCUAACUCCGUGCCAGCAGCCGCGGUAAUACGGAGGAUCCAAGCGUUAUCCGGAAUCAUUGGGUUUAAAGGGUCCGUAGGCGGUUUAAUAAGUCAGUGGUGAAAGCCCAUCGCUCAACGGUGGAACGGCCAUUGAUACUGUUAGACUUGAAUUAUUAGGAAGUAACUAGAAUAUGUAGUGUAGCGGUGAAAUGCUUAGAGAUUACAUGGAA